rnacentral:rRNA from 1 species
UACGAAGGGGGGCUAGCGUUGCUCGGAAUUACUGGGCGUAAAGGGCGCGUAGGCGGACAGUUUAGUCAGAGGUGAAAGCCCAGGGCUCAACCUUGGAAUUGCCUUUGAUACUGGCUGUCUUGAGUUCGGGAGAGGUGAGUGGAAUGCCGAGUGUAGAGGUGAAAUUCGUAGAUAUUCGGCGGAACACCAGUGGCGAAGGCGACUCACUGGCCCGAUACUGACGCUGAGGCACGAAAGCGUGGGGAGCAAACAGG